AAACCCAUGUUGAGUGGCUUGACUUAAAGACGAUUAUCUUCAAUUUUCAGUUUUAGGGUCAUCUGAUUUUGACAGCUGAUUUCUGAUGAAUUUCAUUUCUAUUAUGCUUUUCACAAAUUGAUGAAGUAGGAUUUUUAUUUCCAUCUCUCAUAGAAUCGUUUCCACUUCAUAAUUUGCACUCUUUUUCUCACCUUCUGGAGUCUGGACUACAAGCUUUGACAGAGCUAGCAAGGAAAGCACAACAUUAAUGGGUUUGCUCGCUAUGAGGUCUCCGUGGACGACUCAACCAAACAAUUCAUCGGCAACUUUCCUGGGCUGUGCUAAUUUUGCUGUCACAAGUAAUAUGAUCGUGUGGGCCUCGGUUUGCUAGACGCCCACCACAGGAUGUCUUAUAAUGAUCCUGUGCACGACCUAACCUUCAAAGGUGUCGUGUCCUGUAUUCUUCCCUUCACUGGUACACUUCAAAUCUUUCAUAUGCUUCUUCCUAUUAAUUCCCAUCAUGAUCUUCCAUUACAGUACUGCACUAUUGCUUGUAGUUUGAAUUUAUGUUCACAUGUCUGGAGUUGAUUUGUAAUGCAAUUUCGUAUCCUGCAUAAUUGGAACCCCAAUUUCCAGUAGAGCAGUACUUUCUCUUUUCACUCAAUGAUAGUUGUUCAUUAUAGGUUUGUUUUGUGGAAUUU